rnacentral:lncRNA from 1 species
UGGGAGAGGGGGAGGGGCUGCUGAGGAAGGCCACAGGGGCUAAGGAGGAUUUCCUCAGAGCUUUUGGGAAGCUAUACGUUCCUGGCCCCGAGGUAAAGCUCCCACAGGCUGCUUGACCCAACAGAGCAGCUCCUACCCACUGGGAUUCUCGGUCUGCAGGAAUCUGGCAUCCACCUGGGGAGCAUCUGGCUGAGGCAGCCUGGAGACAGGCACGCACCAGAAGACUUCUGGUUCCAUCCAGGCCCAAGGACCACUGAACUGGAGCGGUCUUCUCCAUCCCCCAGCAAGCCUGUGCGUGAGCUGGGGACAAGGGGCAGAGGAGGCAGAGGUCCCCCUCACACCAGGAAGGGAACAGCGCCACUAAAGGGCCUGGUGGAGGCAGGGUGGAGGUGGAAGGAGACUCAGCAGAAGGGAUGAGGAAACUGAGGCUGAGAGGGUAGAGAACUUUGCCUGAGGUCACUCAGCAGGGACCCACCCAUCACAGUAAAUGCCAGCACUGCUGAUGCCAAAACAAUGUUAUUUGUAGGCCCUCGGAAUUUGUGACCUGAAGGAAGAAGAGCAGGGCCGUGGGAAGUAUGUAACCAGUGUCAUGCCCCUGGUCCCAAGGAAGCAGUGGCUUGGCCUGAACACCCUGUCCUACCUGGUCCUACCUGGAUGCUGGCCUCAGUAAGCUCCUGGGCUCAUUGAAGAUGAACCUAGCAGUAGUAUUUACACCACUUGUUGUGUGCCCACUGUGGGCCCGGCGCCAUGCCGAGUGCUCUAUGGAUGUGAGAUGAGAACACUGAAGCAGUUUUUUCUAAAGAUAGCUGCCUGGCACAGUGGCUCACAUCUGUAGUCCCAGCAUUUGGGGAGGCCAAGGCAGGUGGAUCACUUGAGGCCAGGAAUUCAAGACCAGCAUGGCCAACAUGUAGAGACGGGGGUUUCACUGUGUUAACCAGGAUGGUCUCGAUCUCCUGACCUCGUGAUCUACCCGCCUCAGCCUCCGAAAGUGCUGGGAUUAGAGUGCUGGGAGAGAAAAGCAUACGACAUAGACAGGGAGGUCAAGCUCCACCACGCAGAUGAGGUGCAGGCCACCAGUCUUCCUCUGCCACAUCUCUUUCUGAAAAGGACUUCACAUUCACCCUUGCAAUCCAUGUGGGGACACUGUUGGAUAGGAGGCGUGGUCCCAGCGUGGUCUCCCUGUCUGGGCCUCUGCCUAUGCCAAAUGUUUGCCUUACGCUGCACACUCAAGAGGUUCCAUGUAUACAGAUGGGAAUUCCAGAGCUACAGAAAAGGCAGCAAGCACCAUGAUUUAAGCUAACCAGUGUGGAUUCACACCUUCCUCUCUCUCUAUCAGUGGCAGAACUACCAGCUAGAGUAAGAAGUGGUUGAUCCAGGACCUAAACAUUCUGGAAACUCUUGCCCACUUCUGGGAGAAAUGACCCAAUCCAUAGUACUAAGCACACCUUAACUUUCGUAGGACGCAGGCAAGUUGUCAUACCGUGUGCCUAAAUAUAGAAAAAUGAUCCACUGGACUAAUAAAGUGUUAAAUAAAA